CAUGUUUCAAAACUUCUCCGUUAAAUUCUUUGAUUUCGCGAAAAAAGACAACUUUUGGAUGGCAAACAGGCCACAUAUCUAAAGACAGCGACUGUCCGAGAUGGUGCUGGCAAGCUGUGGCAACGUGUACAACUGUUUGGGGAGAAACUGGAGCCAGGCAUAUCUGUUAUGGCCAUGAUGUAGACCAUGAUCUAUGUAUAGUUGACCAGAGGGACGUGUUAUGACGUUACAGAGUAGGAGCCACAAGAUUGUGGUGAGAGACGGUGUGGUCACCAAGGACAGCACCAACGGGAGACAUAAGAACAACAGACCUGUUUCGAGAUCAGGGGCGUGGCUCUCACUGAUGAGGUUGUCCAAGAGAGACCCGAUGCCAUAUUACUGUUGAAAAAGAUAAAGCGGUUUGGUUUGGCAUGGCUAAGUAUUGACUGAUAAACUGUCAAAAUUUGUGACUUAUUUCUGGCCUGUUGUCUGAGAAACAGUAAUGCCAGUCAUUGGACAUGUGACAGUGACAGCCUAAUUGCUAACACAGGAACAAAAAUUUGAUGUCGGGCCAAGGACAACGCAAAGUUGGCACCAUAUUGGACUGUACAAACUUGGCAACAGCAAAAUAAGCCAGUGACAGUGAGGACGAGUCUGUGACAGGAUGCCUAGCCAAAUGUCUUAAAGGAAGAUGCCUCUGCUAUAAUGAUGAUGAAAGGAUGAAUACCAGCAGGAUGACUUAUUAGUGACAGAAACUUUCAUGUGUAAUAGCCUUAACAAUUUAUGAUCGUCCUAAUGGUUUUAGCCUUCUGUUUCAGCAUGGUUUUAAGAUUGGAGGACAGGGAUGUCACAGAGGUCUGGAAAAACUAUUGCUAACUAGGAUGCACUCGCAUCUUGAACACCUGCUGUGGAGGAGGGCUGGGGAUGCACCAAGAAAGAUAUUUUGUCUCCAGGCCAUGUUGCCAGUGCCACAAAGAACAGAACUGAAGUUGGUUCCAGUCUAAAUAUGAACUAGAAUUAUCAGAGGCUGUCCAAGAGUGGUAUGCAGUCCCAUACAGCUUGAAGUAAAACUCAUGUCUCUAAACCUGGCUGACAUUGAUUAAAUCUCGAUUCCUGCCCUAAUAAUGAACAAAAAUCUGCUCAACAUCAAAUUACCUCAGACAGCGGACUCGGAUGAUUAUCUGGAGAUGGUGUUUAGUAUUUCAUCACAUUGAUACACCAUCCAAAGCAUCUUGUGAUGAAAAACAGCAGGAGUUCCCUGUGUGGACUGAAGCAUGGUUUUAAGAUUGGAGGACGGGGAUGUCAUAGAGGUCUAGAAAAACUAUUGCUAACUAGGAUGCACUCGCAUCUGGACACCUGCUGUGAAGGAGGGCUGGGGACACACCAAGAAAAAUAUUUCAUCUUUCCGGCCACGUUGCCAGUGCCACGAAGAACAGAACUGAACCUGCAUGGUUUCAAGGAAGAUGAGAUGGAGAGAUUCAACAUACAUGGAGAAACAUGUGUCCAUAUCAUAAAGGUCUGUGUGUGUAUCCUGAAGAGGGAUUCAGUUGACUUUUAAAGGAACAAAUAUUUCAGCUCGUCCAUCUGAUGGCACAGACUGGAAAAGAGAAAAGCUACCGCACCAUCGUUCUCCUGGUAAUCAAGCCAAGAUCAGUCCACAUGCUGAGGGUUGCAACUCCAACACCAACAAGAUUUCACUGUGAUCAGCUGACUGCAGCAAAAUCUGACUAGAGAAAAUGAUGAAUAAAUCUACAAUGUCGUUGCACGGACAAGCAAUCUUAGAAUACAAGCACCUCAACUUGAAAACCACUGGUAAUUGAAGCUGGUAGAGCCCGUGACAUCUCUCGUUAACAAGCUAGGUUAUGGACAAGGAUCACGUCAACCAAGUUCAAAUGUCUUGAACAAGAUAUGGCCCCUUCCAUUCUGAGUGGAAAAGACUGUCUAUCAUCUAUAGUUAUGUGCAUUAUCAAGGGUAUCCACAGUUUCUUUGCUGGGAUAAAUGGAAAGCAGUGGAAUUCAACUAUGGUGUGACAGCAUUUUCUGUCCUUGUCUAACUAUGUAGUUUGUGCUCUGUAGUAUGUGAUUUAAAAAUUUGUUAAUAUGGUUAUUGGAGUAAAGAUUGUACAAUGGAAUAUCCACACCUGGUAUUCUAGUUACUGUAGCUUAGCUAAUGUGUAGUGACCUUUUUGUUUUCACUUUAAAAAACCAAUGCGAUUUGCCACACGAAAGGUCCCUCCAGAGAUUGUUGGACUGGGCACAUUGAAUGUAACAAAAAUAAUCGAUGCCUAUUUACAAAUGAAAUGAAGAGUCUGCAUUUUGGUGCAACUCCAUAUAGCUGCUACACUCCCAAAGCAGUGGCAAUUGUCAGGUCUUUUCUGCCUCCCGGGCAAAUCUGCAUACCAGUGAUUAUAUGCGUACUUAAGUUUUGCUUUGAAACAAUAUCAGUGCUACACUUCUGAAGCAGUGGCAGUGUUCAGGUUUUUUCUGCCUCCCGGGCAAAUCUACAUACCAGUGAUUAUAUGCGUACUUAAGUUUUGCGUUGAAGCAAUAUCAGUGCUACACUUGUGAAGCAGUGGCAGUGUUCCGGUCUUGUCUGCCUCACUGAAAUAUCUGCAUACCAGUAGUUAUGUGCAGACUUGGCUCUUUCUUUGGAGCAGUACAGUUGUAAGAUAAAUCCUGUUUGUAAUUUUAUAAAUUAGUUGCUCAUUAAGGGCUUACGAAGGUUUUGAUGCCUUGCUGGCAUAUCUGCAUAAAUAUGUGCAGAUUCAUUUCUUGCUUUGAAGCAAUAUUGUUGCUACACUCCUAAAGCAGUGGCAAUUGUCAGGUCUUUUCUGCCUCGCGGGCAAAUCUGCAUACCAGUAAUUAUGUGCAGACUUGGCUCUUCCAGAGAUUGUAGGACUGGGUCCAUUGAAUGUAACAAAAAUAGUCGACGCCUAUUUACAAAUGAAAUGAAGAGUCUGCAUUUUGGUGUAACUCCAUAUAACUGUCAGGUGAUUUCGCUCUGACUUGUGACACUCUGAUCAGUCUGAAAUAAUCAUUAUCCCGCCCCUCUGGGAAAAAUUUGCAGCCCCAUUGCCCCGUUCUGUUACUGUCUGAGAGAUGGCGAUGUCAGAGGGGAAUGGCGGUCGGCACACCUAUUGCGAAUGGGCAGCACAAUUGGGUGUAGGAUAUUCCGAAACCAUUGCACACUCCUGAAUCUGCGGUGGGUUGGUACCCCACGCUACGUAAGGAGUAGGUUGACUGGUAAGCCUUGGUCCACGUGAAUAGGUCGUGCCUUAAAAAGAUGAGAAGUUGCGAAUUGACGCCCUGUGAAGUGUCCUUCGACCAGCUAGUGCUAAUCCGGUCACUGUCUCCAGGUCACCAUGCCUCGGUCAAUGAGCGGGCGAAGCACCCAAUGGCUCCGUCAGGAGUACAUCGUCAACUUCAGCCCGUAGUCAAACCGGUACGCGCACAAAUAUCUUAGUUGAGAGUGGGGGACAUCAGUUGCUUCUCAUCGGGGUAAUACAGUAUUGACCCCAUUUUUUGUUGGAUUCAUUUCCACCGAGGAGUGGUCGAUAAUGAGAAUUUCAGGCCAGUCUGAUUAUCACCAGUACAGAGGGCAAUUAUCUAAUAGUUAUGUGGCUUUCCCUCAAACUGUAUACUCUUUCAUGUCAAUUGUAAAUUAGUGUUGCUUGGUAGUGUUCAGGGUCUUUUUGUCGAACAUGCAAAUCUGCAUACCAGUGAUUAUAUGCGUACUUAAGUUUUGCUCUGAAACAUCAGUGCUACACUUGUGAAGCAGUGGCAGUGGUCAGGUCUUGUCUGCCUCACUGACAUAUCUGCAUACCAGUAGUUAUGUGCAGACUUGGCUCUUUCUUUGGAGCAGUACAGUUGUAAGAUAAAUCCUGUUUGUAAUUUUAUAAAUUAGUUGCUCAUUAAGGGCUUACGAAGUUUUGAUGCCUUGCUGGCAUAUCUGCAUAAAUAUGUGCAGAUUCAUUUCUUGCUUUGAAGCAAUAUUGUUGCUACACUCCUAAAGCAGUGGCAAUUGUCAGGUCUUUUCUGCCUCGUGGGCAAAUCUGCAUACCAGUAAUUAUGUGCAGACUUGGCUCUUCCAGAGAUUGUAGGACUGGGUCCAUUGAAUGUAACAAAAAUAGUCGACGCCUAUUUACAAAUGAAAUGAAGAGUCUGCAUUUUGGUGUAACUCCAUAUAACUGUCAGGUGAUUUCGCUCUGACUUGUGACACUCUGAUCAGUCUGAAAUAAUCAUUAUCCCGCCCCUCUGGGAAAAAUUUGCAGCCCCAUUGCCCCGUUCUGUUACUGUCUGAGAGAUGGCGAUGUCAGAGGGGAAUGGCGGUCGGCACACCUAUUGCGAAUGGGCAGCACAAUUGGGUGUAGGAUAUUCCGAAACCAUUGCACACUCCUGAAUCUGCGGUGGGUUGGUACCCCACGCUACGUAAGGAGUAGGUUGACUGGUAAGCCUUGGUCCACGUGAAUAGGUCGUGCCUUAAAAAGAUGAGAAGUUGCGAAUUGACGCCCUGUGAAGUGUCCUUCGACCAGCUAGUGCUAAUCCGGUCACUGUCUCCAGGUCACCAUGCCUCGGUCAAUGAGCGGGCGAAGCACCCAAUGGCUCCGUCAGGAGUACAUCGUCAACUUCAGCCCGUAGUCAAACCGGUACGCGCACAAAUAUCUUAGUUGAGAGUGGGGGACAUCAGUUGCUUCUCAUCGGGGUAAUACAGUAUUGACCCCAUUUUUUGUUGGAUUCAUUUCCACUGAGGAGUGGUCGAUAAUGAGAAUUUCAGGCCAGUCUGAUUAUCACCAGUACAGAGGGCAAUUAUCUAAUAGUUAUGUGGCUUUCCCUCAAACUGUAUACUCUUUCAUGUCAAUUGUAAAUUAGUGUUGCUUGGUAGUGUUCAGGGUCUUUUUGUCGAACAUGCAAAUCUGCAUACCAGUGAUUAUAUGCGUACUUAAGUUUUGCUCUGAAACAUCAGUGCUA